UGGUCAUUGGCUCCAUUAUGACAUAGCUGGAGAGGAUUGACAAGAAAUGGUGGUAUUCCAGGUGGGUGCAGUUACUCGAGCGGACACUUUUGAGGUUCCGGUGGAACCCCCAACCUCCUUCCUUUUUCGUUAAAAUUUCACUGAUGUGUGCAAAGCCGGAGAAGUUUGUUGACAUGCGGAAACGGGGCUUGCCUCCCAUAUAGAGCCUCCGGUGCCUAUAGGUGCCUCCGUCGUGGGGCAAACGGAAUCGGAAUUGGAAUCGCUUUUUGGUCAAACCACAAACUGCAGCGGCACUGCAUCCGCAGCUGGCAGUUGCCAGUUGCCAGUUGCGUAAUUAGACAAACAAACGGCGGAGUACAAAUGGAAAUCCAAACGUUGGAGAAAUUUUUAAAUAUUUGCCGAUCUUAGAAAGAGAUAUGCGAGUUGUGUAAGAUAUGGUACUUGGCUUGAGCAUGGCUUGGAAUUGGCCAAGAUCUUUUUGGCCAACAGGUUGCAUCAGCAGAAUGCCAGCAACGUCGUCUUGCGCAACUUAUAUG